rfam:Picea glauca, whole genome shotgun sequence.
GGGUGCGAUAAUACCGAUGUUAAUGCACCGGAGCUCAUCAAAACUCCGUAGUUAAGCGUGCUUUGGCUAGAAAAGAACUAGGAUGGGUGACCUCACAGGAAGUCCUAGUGUUUCACCCU